UUGAAGAAGAUGCUACAUCGUUUCACAGUAGUUGGGUGAUGGGCUCCGAGACAACUCCUAUUGUACGUGAACAAGUAUGUUUAAAUUUGUAACUGUUGGCUGAAGACCCAGGAAAGAACUGAUUUCAAAAAGGGCUCCAAAGAUGAUUAGAAAAACCCAAGAAUUGGUCCUUUGUUUCAGACCUCAGAAUAAC